AUUGAACGCUGGCGGCAUGCCUUACACAUGCAAGUCGAACGGCAGCACGGGAGCAAUCCUGGUGGCGAGUGGCGAACGGGUGAGUAAUACAUCGGAACGUGCCCAGUUGUGGGGGAUAGCCCGGCGAAAGCCGGAUUAAUACCGCAUACGACCUACGGGUGAAAGCGGGGGAUCGCAAGACCUCGCGCUAUUGGAGCGGCCGAUGUCGGAUUAGCUAGUUGGUGGGGUAAAAGCCUACCAAGGCUACGAUCCGUAGCUGGUCUGAGGGGACGACCAGCCACACUGGGACUGAGACACGGCCCAGACUCCUACGGGAGGCAGCAGUGGGGAAUUUUGGACAAUGGGCGCAAGCCUGAUCCAGCCAUGCCGCGUGCGGGAAGAAGGCCUUCGGGUUGUAAACCGCUUUUGUCAGGGAAGAAACGGUUUGGGCUAAUACCCCGAACUAAUGACGGUACCUGAAGAAUAAGCACCGGCUAACUACGUGCCAGCCGCCGCGGUAACAC
rnacentral:rRNA from 1 species